GGUCCCCUGCAGUGUUCGUGAUGGACUAGUAACCCCUGAACCAACGUCGUCAAUCAGGGGGUCCGGAUGUCGCUCCGCGCGCAGGACUCCCACCUUGUGACCAGGUUCAGGUCACUCAUCCACACGGCACCGGCGGGGGGCCU
rnacentral:other from 1 species